GGCAGGUAUUACUUUGCAGACUAGGAAACUGAGGCCCAGAGGGGGAGGAUACUUCCUCAGGGUCAGAGUCACUCAGUGGUGGACCUUCUGAUUGGAAAUCCUAUGGAUUCUCCUCUAUCGCCUUUCUAAGUUAAACGAACUUGGCAUCUGCUGCCGCCACUUUCUGUUAGAACCUGAAUGGCGGUGGGAGCAGUGGCUAGAGCAAAUGGAAAAUGUGGACUUGGGACAUUUUAGAGAGGCUGGCAGGACACAGUAAGGAGGUCGUCUGUGAUUCUAGAGUUGGGAAGGACUCCCAUACUGAAGGGUUGUCCCCACAAUCAAAUACCUUCUCCUUCCUAACAGUGUCGUCUGAAGGAAGAGGCAAAGACCGUGUCUCCAUGGUGAUCGGAACUAGGUCCUCUUCUUCCUCCGCUUAGAAGAGAGGUUGGUGGGCUUAACUGUGGUAACCAGGCUUGAGGAUAAUGGAGACUCAAAAAGGAAGGAAUGGGUUCAGGGAAAGGGAGAAACGGGUGCUGGGACUCGGGCAGGAGGACCCACACCAGAAGACACCAGAACCCCAGACCAAGUGGUGUGCAUCCCCCUCCCUCUUGCCACGGAAACCCAUCUACUGCAUCCCGACCUCAGCAGGUAAAUAGAUCCGCUGGAGCCCCGCCCGCGCGUGGAUGCGCGUGUGUGCGCGCGUGUGAGACGUACAGAGGGGGCUGCUCCCGCCUCCUCACCCCACCCCCCAAGUCCCCAGGCAAGCAGUGAAUCAGCCUGACAAUGAGGUGAGUCAUUCAUAACUGCUCCGGGCCGACCCAGCAGGCGGGAAGCAAACGUCAGCCAGCCUCGCAGCCCCACUCCCCCAACCCCCCAGUGGGAUCGCUCAGCCCCACGCACUGCAGAUGUUGAAGAAACUGACGCGGGCGACUGGAGGCACCAAAGCUCAUCUCCUCAGCCCCUCCUUCUGGUUUGCAAUCCAUUCAUCCUCCAGCCCCUUUCUCCCCUCGGGUGGCCUGUGAGUCAUCUCAAGAUCUACGCCCCUAAUCCAACACCCACCUCCCCAAGCCUCUCCCAGUUGGUUUUACUCCAAGGCUGGGGGGUGGGAGCAGGGAGGCUGGACCUCUGAUGAGGCGCCAAGGUCUGCCUUUGGAAGGGAGGCAGACCCACACUGGGCUGUGGGGGUGGGCAGGGCUCAGGGCAGGCUGCAGCUGGCUGAAUCUCUGGCAGCUGGCGUCCAGCUUGCUUGGAGCAUCAGGGCGUAUGUGAGGGCAGCAGGGAAGUCGCUGCUGAAGCGUGCUGCCUGGACCACCUGUGGCAGGUGGUGACUAGGGCAUGGGGAGGGGGCAAGAGUAUUGCUCUGCUUUCCAGAGAAGUCUCACACAGUGUCUCCCCAGUACCUGACAAUCUUCAGAGCCUGGUAGCUUCUCUCCUCUGCACUUCCCUACCUGUCCACCCCCCAAACACCUGUAACGCACCCCCUCCCCUCAUCUAUCAGCUUUCUUCUCUUGGACUGAACCUUACCUGACGCUUCUGACUUAGACAACUAGGUCCCCUGGUGGUGUCCCUUACUGGGUCAGAAAAUAUCAAAGGCGUUAAAAAUGUGUAGACCUGGGGCCAGCCCCGUGGCUGAGUGGUUGAGUUUGUGCACUUUGCUUCGGUGGCCUGGGGUUUUGCGGGUUCAGAUCCUGGGUGUGGACAUGGCACCACUCAUCAAGCCAUGCUGAGGCGGCGUCCCACAUGCCCCAACUAGAAGGACCCACAGCUGAAAAAUAUAUACAACUAUGUGCUGGGGGGCUUUGGGGAGAAGAAGGAAAAAUAAAGUCUUAAAAAAGAAGUAUAGAACUUUUGAC
rnacentral:lncRNA from 1 species